UAACUUAUCCAAGGCAAAUACUUUUUUAAUUGUGACAGAUUCACACCUGAUUACUUAGAAUCAUUUGUUUUCUCAAUUCUGGCUGCAUCAAUUACUCAUGUUGAAUUUAAAAUGUUUAUUUUGAUAUAAAAA
rnacentral:pre_miRNA from 1 species